AGUAAAAUGACUGAAAUUUAGGUAAUAAACUGUAAAUUUAUUUAUGAGAUAAAAUCUCUUUUACUA
rnacentral:tRNA from 1 species